CUCCUAUGGUAACUAUGAAGCGAAACGACUCCAGAGAUACCGGAAAAGCUGAUACUGGAGGACACGCUAUCAGCUUCGGCGCAGAGGUCUCAGGUCUUCCGGAAGGGGUGCGUGUCUCGGUGACGUUCGACGUCGCGACGCUUUCGCUAGUUCGCGGGUCGUCAGCAGCUUAGCAGGAUACCUCCAACCUUCGGAGGUGUCGCUACAGAUCCGGCUAUUUUAUUCAAUUUCCAAAAACACUGGAUAAAACCUCCGAUCAUCCUCUCACUCGACCGGUGCUCCGUUUACAGAUAAAAAAAAAAACAACAGAAAAAAAAACAGAAAAAAUAGACGAAUUCGCGGCGGUUGCAGUACGCGGCGAUGACGCCGUUGCGGACCGAAUUAUUGACGAAAAGUAAAGGAGGAAACAGGGCCGACAACAAAUCAAUAUCUCGCUCGCCCCUGUGGACCUGCAGGAGACCUUUCGAAGAGCGUCGUAGGGGAUAAAAUAUCCAACGGAGCAGCGACACCCGACCAAAGGAUAUAUUUUAUACGAUGUACAGUACAAAACUACCCUAUCUGUUCUCAAUGGUACAACGAUCCAACUAACUAUGUGAAGAACAAAUCGAAACUGAUGCUCAGCUUGACCACUUUGUAGACAUUACAGACUUUCACAUCUUUGAUGAUUACUGCAUCGUUGUGCGUACAAAUGAAGGUAUCUGACCAAUUCAACGAUAAGAUAUUUAAUUUGUACGUCUGAACGAAGUUGAGUAGGGGGAGGUCUUAGGGAGCGGGGAAUAUUUUUGUAAAACGGAACGGUGAAUAUUGAUACGAUGUCAAACUCCAAGCGUGGAAACUUUGUUCGAACCGGUGAUAAACAAACCUGCCCCUACACGGACAAAUGCUACCGGAAAAAUCCCAUACAUUUCACAGAGAUGUCGCAUCCGCAUCGUAAGCGAAUUUGAAAUUGGAAUGAAUUUAUAAGUUUAAAAAUUAAAGAUUCCUUUUUGUGUUGGCGCUUUCGAAAUUUGAAUCAUUCAGUUUUUUAGUCAUCGUUAAGAUAAUUCUUGAUUCGGUAUUCACGGCUGUGAAAUAAAUUCGGAUUACAAAAAUGUAACUAUACAGUUUUGUUUGGCCUAAUCAAUUCCUGUUGGAAAAUAAAAAUUUAACCACUGGGCGAAAUACACCGGUUAAAUUGACCAAUUGACGAACGAAUCGCGUGACUAAUGCCAGAAGGUCGUAAACGUCAAAAAUGCGGCUCAAUAUCAGAAAGGCGUAUCUUGAAAAAAGAUAAUCUGAAAAAGUCAGUUUUCGAAACACAUUUUAUUUAAGCUACUCGAAUUUUGAUCUGUUUUUUUGUUAACAUACGCCCUUCUGCCCCUCACUUUCCGAAACAUUCUGCGAAAUAUUCGGAUCACUAAUGCCACAAUAAUGGCAGAAGGGUAUGUGAGAAAAAAAAACAUCAACAUUCGAGUACUCAGUUUAAAUGAAAUGUGUUUCGAAAACUAACUUUUUUAGAUCAUCAUGAUUUUCGUGCUUUUUUCAACAUACACCCUCCUGGCAUUAGUGAACUCAUAUACGACCUUCUGACUUUAGGGAAAGUAAAUAACUCGAAUCAUGACGCUUACGACCUUCUGACAUCAGUCACGCGAAAUGAAUGCAUGCAAUAGGGGAGAAACGACGAAAACUCGUAGUACUUUAAUAACUAAAUUUAAUUUAAUAAAACGAUUGUCCGUAGUGCUCGUAUUACACAAAUGUCGCUUGUAAUCUCAUAUGGAAUCCGUUCACCCAUCAUCAGGCAUUUUAACGCAUUUUUUUUCAAAAGCGGUAUGAACAAUUUGAACUGUAUUUUAU